rnacentral:rRNA from 1 species
UUAAAGGAAUUGGCGGGGGAGCACCACAACGGGUGGAGCCUGCGGUUUAAUCGGACUCAACGCCGGGAAACUCACCGGACAAGACAGCUGAAUGAUAGUCGGGCUGAAGACUCUACUUGACUAGCUGAGAGGAGGUGCAUGGCCGUCGUCAGUUCGUACUGUGAAGCAUCCUGUUAAGUCAGGCAACGAGCGAGACCCACGCCAACAGUUGCUAGCUCGUCCUCCGGGAUGGAGAGGACACUGUUGGGACCGCCUCUGCUAAAGAGGAGGAAGGAAUGGGCAACGGUAGGUCAGCAUGCCCCGAAUUGUCCGGGCUACACGCGGGCUACAAUGGGUGGGACAAUGGGUAUCGACACCGAAAGGUGAAGGCAAUCUCCUAAACCCAUCCUUAGUUCGGAUUGUGGGCUGCAACUCGCCCACA